GAUGAACGCUGGCGGCGUGCCUAAUACAUGCAAGUCGAGCGAACAGACGAGGAGCUUGCUCCUCUGACGUUAGCGGCGGACGGGUGAGUAACACGUGGAUAACCUACCUAUAAGACUGGGAUAACUUCGGGAAACCGGAGCUAAUACCGGAUAACAUGUUGAACCGCAUGGUUCAACAGUGAAAGACGGUUUUGCUGUCACUUAUAGAUGGAUCCGCGUCGCAUUAGCUAGUUGGUAAGGUAACGGCUUACCAAGGUAACGAUGCGUAGCCGACCUGAGAGGGUGAUCGGCCACACUGGAACUGAGACACGGUCCAGACUCCUACGGGAGGCAGCAGUAGGGAAUCUUCCGCAAUGGGCGAAAGCCUGACGGAGCAACGCCGCGUGAGUGAAGAAGGUCUUCGGAUCGUAAAACUCUGUUAUUAGGGAAGAACAAAUGUGUAAGUAACUAUGCACGUCUUGACGGUACCUAAUCAGAAAGCCACGGCUAACUACGUG
rnacentral:rRNA from 1 species